rnacentral:rRNA from 1 species
CUACGGGGCGCUGCAGUGGGGAAUAUUGCACAAUGGAGGAAACUCUGAUGCAGCAACGCCGCGUGGAGGAUGACACUUUUCGGAGCGUAAACUCCUUUUAUAUAGGAAGAAGAUGACGGUACUAUAUGAAUAAGCGCCGGCUAACUCCGUGCCAGCAGCCGCGGUAAUACGGAGGGCGCAAGCGUUACUCGGAAUCACUGUGCGUAAAGAGCGUGUAGGCGGAUUAAAAAGUCAGAAGUGAAAUCCUAUAGCUUAACUAUAGAACUGCUUCUGAAACUCCUAAUCUAGAAUAUGGGAGAGGUAGAUGGAAUUUCUGGUGUAGGGGUAAAAUCCGUAGAGAUCAGAAGGAAUACCGAUUGCGAAGGCGAUCUACUAGAACAUUAUUGACGCUGAGACGCGAAAGCGUGGGGAGCAAACAGGAUUAGAUACCCCAGUAGUC